rnacentral:rRNA from 1 species
AUUAGCGGCGGACGGGUGAGUAACACGUGAGUAACCUGCCUUAGACAUUGGGAUAGCCUCGGGAAACCGGGAUUAAUACCAAAUAAAAUCAUAAUGACACAUGUCAUAGCGAUCAAAACUCCGGUGGUCUAAGAUGGACCCGCGUCCCAUUAGCUAGUUGGUAGAGUAAAAGCCUACCAAGGCGACGAUGGGUAGCCGGCCUGAGAGGGUGAACGGCCACAUUGGAACUGAGAGACGGUCCAA